GAAUGUUUCGAUCUAAAUGUUUAAUAUUGUUUAUUAUAAAAGUAACAUCGAUGUUUACGUCAUAUCAGGGAAUGCUCCGUCUUCGAUUUUACAAUGGACAGAUAAAUUAAUACGCGCCCAGUUUUAGCAGUUCCGACUGAAUUUAACGUCUGUUAUUUCUUUUGCAGAAUGCCUUGUUUCACAAAAAAGAACACUGUUCAGAUAUUUUCUCUGGACUGUCAAUUUCUGCAUUUCAUAAUCAUGUGAUACCUGUGUUGGAGCCCUCCCAAAAACCUCCCCUGUAAGAUUUCAAAGUUAAGGAGAUCAUUCAAAUGACAGAGGUUUUGGUCCAUCUUGGUUUGUCUCAACAGUUAAUCUUUUGGAAAGCAGUGUUGGAGAAAAUAUCAGCAACAUGU